CAAAUGAAUUGACGGGGGCCCGCACAAGCGGUGGAGCAUGUGGUUUAAUUCGAUGCAACGCGAAGAACCUUACCUGGUCUUGACAUCCACAGAACUUUCCAGAGAUGGAUUGGUGCCUUCGGGAACUGUGAGACAGGUGCUGCAUGGCUGUCGUCAGCUCGUGUUGUGAAAUGUUGGGUUAAGUCCCGCAACGAGCGCAACCCUUAUCCUUUGUUGCCAGCGGUCCGGCCGGGAACUCAAAGGAGACUGCCAGUGAUAAACUGGAGGAAGGUGGGGAUGACGUCAAGUCAUCAUGGCCCUUACGACCAGGGCUACACACGUGCUACAAUGGCGCAUACAAAGAGAAGCGACCUCGCGAGAGCAAGCGGACCUCAUAAAGUGCGUCGUAGUCCGGAUUGGAGUCUGCAACUCGACUCCAUGAAGUCGGAAUCGCUAGUAAUCGUGGAUCAGAAUGCCACGGUGAAUACGUUCCCGGGCCUUGUACACACCGCCCGUCACACCAUGGGAGUGGGUUGCAAAAGAAGUAGGUAGCUUAACCUUCGGGGGGGCGCUUACCACUUUGUGAUUCAUGACUGGGGUGAAGUCGUAACAAGGUAACCGUAGGGGAACCUGCGGUUGGAUCACCUCCUUA
rnacentral:rRNA from 2 species